AUGAAGGGGUGCAAGUCUUUGAUGCCAGAGGAGGUGAAGAAGCGCAAGAGAAGGUGCUCUUCUGCUUGAGGGAAGACAGGAAGAACAUCAUCCUGGAGGGGGCAAGAUCUUGGUGGGUGAUGUGGGCCAGACUGUCGAUGACUCCAUGCCACCUUUUCAAGAUGGAACCAGACAAGGACUGUCACUAUGUCCUCUAUGAUGCAGCUCUGGAGACCAAGGAGAGCACAAAGAGGGACCUGGUUUUUAUCUUCUGGGCCCCUGAGUCUGCUAAACAGCUCCUGUACCCACUA
rnacentral:lncRNA from 1 species